GGAAAACCUGGCAGCAUGCUCAGUCCAUCUGCUCAUUCUGUCAGGGAUCUCUGGUGUUCAUAGAGGACGAAAUUGAACAAGAAGCCGCAAGACAUCACCAAGCGUCCUACACAAUCCUAUUAUACUGCUUCCUCUUUGGACUCAUCUGACUAUAAGAACCACAGUUAUCAUAUCAUUCAUGGCAAUUUGAGCUGGUACCAGGCCCAGAAAACAUGUUUGGAGAAGGGUGCGGCACUUGUGAGCAUCACAGACCCGUUUCAGCAGACCUAUCUCACUGCGCUGAUCAACAGGCUUGAAGCCCCACACUGGAUCGGCUUGUACAGCACAGAUAAAGCAUUGCUUUCUCCUAUGAAGUGGUAUGUCCAGAGACCUGGGUAAAGUUUCAUAUUAAAGAUGACCCUGGAGGAAGCGAGAAAUCACUGUAAAAAGAAGAGUACAGCACUUUAAAUAUGUUUGGAUCAAGAGCGCCACCUAGUGGUGGCUUUGAUCAUCUUUGGUUAUAUUUUCAUAGUUUACCAAGAUUAAUUCGUUUCUCAGGAAAUUUUUCAGAUGUUCUUACAGUUCAAGAGCCGGUUCUUCCUUAAAGAGAUGUUACCUCAUUACCGGGGCCCUCAGAAUUUGUGGCUAGGAAUUUUAUACGACACUGACAGUGCCAUCAAAGUGAUAGAAGUGGAGCAAUUUAAAGAUCUGCACCAAGGUGUGAUCUCAGCAGCUGCGUUGGUGGCCAUUGUGCUGUUUGCUGUGGUGAUUGGAUCAUUAUGGCUCCUUUACAAGAGAAACUCCCUGUGCAUCCUAAGGCUUCUAAAGUUUUUACAGACAGACAAGUUCCCAAGGAAAUUACCAAAAUGAAAAUGUUUUACUCCCAGACCUAGAGACACAAGCAGGGGACUAGCAUGUAUUUGUGUGAGCGUAUAGGUGCAUUGUUUCCCUUUGUGUUUUGUGUGAGAGUGUGUUCAUUCAGUCAGGGAAACUGCAGUAGGAAUGAUGAGGAUAGUUGAGUUGUCUGUCCAUACUGUAGCUAAAGGAGGAUACUGUGCACAAACAGGUCAGAUAAAGCCUCAAGACAGACCAUUUAAACGCAUUAUGAAAGGGAUAUCCUCUAUGAAGUGAAAAAAUGGGUCUUUUUCUCUUUGUCUCAUAUUCAGGACAACAACAGAAUUCCUCCUGGGUGUAAAAGUUCAAAUGGGCCAAAUGGCUUGUUUGUUGAGUGUGGUUUAUUAUUGUUAAGGUGUUAAGGCCUGUUUACAUUAACACAAAUGUUUGGCAUGAAAAUGCGUAAACAAAAAAAACAUUUGGACAGUUUGAAUUUCACUGCAAUUUCACUCUCUGAUAGUAUAUUGUGCUUAUAGGAACGCAUAAAUACUGCAAUGCGCUACGCAACUUUGUGCUUCUGACACCCACUUGUCAUGAAGGAGAAAAGAGGCUUCUUUCCAGAUUGUUCCUCUGUUGUUUAUUGCCUAUUAUCAAAAUAUGCCACCAAGUCAUAGUUUUAUGUAACAGCAGCGUGUUUGGGCACAUAAUCAAAAGUGUGACUCUAAUUGGGUGCCUAGUUUUCUUUCAGUGCAAUGGCAAAGAGAUUAGAACUCCUCUCCUCCAUCAGUUGUUUAUCGCAUAAAUUUUUGUAUCAAAUAUUCGUCUGUAAGUUGUAUACAUAAAGAAAUAAAUAGUGUUUUGAAAAGAAUGUAUAACAAAAACAUAUGUGUUCCUAAUCUUAAUGGGCACGAUUAAUCUUGUUACCAAACUUUGUAAUCUUUUUAAAAAUAUAAUAACUUGCUCCACCUCUUAAACAAAUUUUCUUUCUGAUGACAUCACCAAGGCCACUUGCAUUUUAACCAAUUGUUGUCUGGCAGUGUGUCAAGAGGGGAAGAGUCAUUCACAGUUGACUGCAAACUGUUGUAUGAAGCAGACACUUUUAAUAAUGGGUAACUUUUCAAAACAUCCAUCACAUUAUGAAAGUAAAAGGGGUUGUGGGUGUCAUUUCAUGUUGACUUUUAAGUGUUACUCUUCAAUAUUUGCAGCUAUUCAGCAAUGCAACUUUCGGAUCUCUAUGAUCCUCCAAUCCAGGGUGAACUGCUUUUAUGAAGUCUUUAAAUAGUUCAUCUACAGCAGGAUGCUUGUUCUUACAAGUAUUUUGUUCUAGUUAAAACAAUAAACUACUAUCAAAAAGAGUCCACUUAUCCAAAACAAACUACUGCACACCAAAGCAAAGCAGAACAACUUGGCCAUGAACAAAUGUUUACUUUGCACCGUUGGUGGUGUUACCAGUGUUACAACCUUAUUUUCAUAUUGUUUUCUCUCCUCUGAAAUAUGAAACUGGUUUGAUCUGAAGUGUGUAUGCUAGGAUUACAUGUUUGUUCUUUAUACGCACCUUGGUUUUGCACAGCUCCCAGAUCACCAGAGCCGUGUUGUUGUAAUAAAGGCCACAGAUGCACUUUUUUCUUUUCUUUCUUUUUCAAUUCUUAUUCCGUGGUUUAAAAAGCAAAUCUAAGUUUAAAAACGUCCUCUUCUUUUUAGCUGUGUUUGCGUCUCUGUUUUACUGAUUGUGCUUCUCUGACUUUUUGCAUUGUCUAAUGGAAAUUAUUAAUGCUUAAUUUAAGAAUUCAUUCUGUUGCAAAAAUGUGAAUGAAGAACAUUGUUUUUAAUCAUCUAGUGUUUCUCUAAAUUUUUUGGGAACAAGAACACACACAAAGACUGUAAAUUUAAGUUUCAGAAAUCCCCUCUGUACUUCCUAAACCAUGCAUAUUAAACCACCUUGUAUAAUUUGUAAAAAUAAUAAUAAUAAUAAUAAUAAUAAUCAAUUGUGGUAAUGAGUGAUUGUGGUAGUGAGAAAUAUGACAAACAAGGCUUCAUUGUUUUGAUUUUAAUCACUAAAACAUUUCAUAUUUUGGUAAUAAAUUUUGAUAAGCAGUUACAUUCUAAAAUUCAGUAGCUUCUUUCCAUUCUGAACUUUUAUAUUACUGUAAAACUGGAUUUGUGUGUUUUUCCAUGUGUGAUUGUGUUUAAAUUGUGUUUAAAGUGUAUUUUGUUCUUUUUAGUAUUGUUUAGCAGUUUUCAGUAUAAGGUAAAAUUGUCAGUGUCUCUUUUGAGAGUUUUUUUUUCUCUCGUUUACAAGAACACUUGAUCAGUUUAACGUGACCAAAUGUAUUUUCAGUAUGUUUCACCUGAUCCGUGAUUUAAAAUAAAUUAUUUAAAACUC
ensembl:lncRNA